CCUACGGGUGGCUGCAGUGGGGAAUAUUGCACAAUGGGGGAAACCCUGAUGCAGCAACGCCGCGUGAGUGAGGAAGUAUUUCGGUAUGUAAAGCUCUAUCAGCAGGGAAUAGAAAAGAAGGUACCUGAAAAAGAAGCCCCGGCUAACUACGUGCCAGCAGCCGCGGUAAUACGUAGGGGGCAAGCGUUAUCCGGAUUUACUGGGUGUAAAGGGCGUGUAGGCGGGACUGCAAGUCAGAUGUGAAAACCACGGGCUCAACCUGUGGCCUGCAUUUGAAACUGUAGUUCUUGAGUACUGGAGAGGCAGACGGAAUUCCUAGUGUAGCGGUGAAAUGCGUAGAUAUUAGGAGGAACACCAGUGGCGAAGGCGGUCUGCUGGACAGCAACUGACGCUGAGGCGCGAAAGCGUGGGGAGCAAACAGGAUUAGAUACCCUUGUAGUC
rnacentral:rRNA from 1 species